GCCGACGCUUGAUGCAUCUGAAUGGAUCUGGAAUGGUUUGGUAAAAUCAGGGCAAGCGAGCACCGGAGCCUGGGUGAGGGCUUCUUUAAGCGCUAGGAAUGACCUCUCUGCUUCCACUGUCCAGUCUACGGUGUCUCUACCCUUCUUCUUGCCAAUUAAAGCUGUCAUCGGGGCUAUGAUAGUUGAAAAAUUUGCCACGAAUCGUCGGUAAUAAGAACAGAGCCCUAUAAAUGCGCGUAGUUGCUUAGCGGUUGUUGGGCGCGGGAAAUUUUUAAUGCUAUCUAGCUUUUGUGGAUCUGUUAGUAGACCUUGUGAACCGACUAUGUAUCCAAGGUACCUAAGCUCUGAUUUACAAAAUUCGCACUUACUAAAAUUUAUAGUUAGACCUGGGCCCGUAGCCAAAUUACAUUCGCUCCGUAUCGAUUCGAUCUCUACGUUCGCGAGCGACUGGUCGAUAAUGUUUAUAAUAACCUAGCCAAGAGGCAAUCUUUUUAGUUAUCGCAUAUUCGACGGGCCAAGUCGAUAAAAAUUAAUUUUAGUCUGUGGUUCUCGUUCAAAACCGUCAAGAAACGUCAUCUGUCAGCUGUCAAGAGUGUCAAGUGAACAGCGAAUCUAAUUUUGGAGAAAAUAAUUGUUUUAUCGACAGCCGUCGUCACCGCAGCCCCAAUCAAGGCGGCGGCGCAGCCAGAGCGGGCAAGAGCGGGCUCCGCGGGCUCUUCUUCCACGCUGAGAAGUCCUCGCCAAGUUGGCACGAACAGUCAAAGCUGCCGCUGCAAUGACGCCUUCAUGGCAGUUACCAGUGCUAAGGACGUGCACUGCUGGCUUACUUGACCAGAAGAGACAAUACUUUAAGUGUUAGUAAUGAUUCAAACCGUGAAGUGAAAUUGUGAACAGGUUUGCCCGAAUCAGUGUAACCUCAGUGAACUCAUUUACUUCAUAGACUUCAAACAUUUUCGAAAUUAACAAAAGUCAAGCGAACAUUGAAUACAUAGAUGUUAUGCAUUAGAUAAGAUAAAAGCUGCCUGUGAAACCAAAACUAAUAAAUCAUAUUAUUACUUAA